GAUAUGGAAGAGAAGAGGUUCUUUCUUAGCUGCACAAGUGUUCGACCUCCACAAGUAUUCACUCGGGAUCAGCAUGAAACAGCCCUCUUUAAUCUGAAUUUUAGUUCUCCAAAAUUCAGCCUGCUGAAUCUGAACGAAGCCUGGAUCGCCAUUAACGCUUGAUCUUUCUCCUUGAUCUUCUUCUUCUCCUCUUCUAUAGAGUUUCUCCUUAUUUUGUGCUGCUAUAAAAUACUAGCAACCAGCAAAUUAUGGGACACCCAACACCUUGGGUGUGGAACUCCUUGGGACUCGCAUUCCAAGGAAUGGGCGUGUAGAACGCCCAAGAGAAGAGAAAGG
rnacentral:lncRNA from 1 species